rnacentral:misc_RNA from 1 species
GAUGAAGAACGUAGCGAAAUGCGAUAAGUAAUGCGAAUUGCAGAAUUCAGUGAAUCAUCGAAUCUUUGAACGCACAUUGCGCCCGCCAGUAUUCUGGCGGGCAUGCCUGUUCGAGCGUCAUUUCAACCAUCAAGCCCCCGGCUUGUGUUGGGGACCUGCGGCUGCCGCAGGCCCUGAAAACCAGUGGCGGGCUCGCUAGUCACUCCGAGCGUAGUAAUACAUCUCGCUCAGGGCGUGCUGCGGGUUCCGGCCGUUAAAAAAGCCUUAUUUACCCAAGGUUGACCUCGGAUCAGGUAGGAAGACCCGCUGAACUUAAGCAUAUCAAUAAGCGGAGGA